GUAGGCGGUGCGAAGUUUGGUUGUUGGGCUGUUCCCCCUGUUGAAGCAGCAGCUGCCAGGUUGAGUUUGUAUUCUCAGCAAUGCCAAGGGAAGACAUUUAUUUGCGUUUACAUAAGGGAAUGCUUCCACCCAUCUAGUCAAAUGAUCCACAAUGAUGUACAAAUAUUUCAUCCUCCCCGCCAAAGGCAAAGAAGCUGACAAUAAGAGCAUGCUGACAAUAAGAGCAACCAAUAAUAACAAGUAACUUCGAAAAGGAAAGAAAAUCAAGCUAGAAAUAAAAAUAUUUUCCAUUUCAUUCACACAAUUCUCCUCCUCCUCCGCCAGAGGUUGUUAGACAAAAGAGAGAAAAUUAAGAAAUAUUUCAAACUGGAAUAAGUAGAUUAUGCAUAACUCGAGAAUACAUUACAUGAAAAAUCAAGGAAGAUUAUUUUUUAUUCUGCAAAAGAGGGAAAUAUCUGGAAAUUAGUGUGGAGGAAAGGGUCAAUUGGAUAGCUACAUAGGGCAAAUUGUGAUGCAGGCCUCGCUCUAGGAGAUAAAAAAAGGCUUUAAUCAAAACUCCACUAAAAGGGGAUCACAGAUAUUUUUGCUGUCAAGAAUGUUAGUGUUGGAAAAGCUCCAUAGAUGCCCCUAUUGUGGGAAAAGCACAGAUUGCAAACCACAGCUGAUUAUGCACGAGAAGAUCCACACAGAAUAAAAUCCACAAAAGUGUUCCCAAUGUAGAAAAUACUUUAGUGAGCAUGGCAACAUGGUGAUACAUCAGAGGACUCACAUCCUAUAUCUGUGUCCA